rnacentral:misc_RNA from 1 species
AUGUCUCUGCAUCUGCUAGACUAGAAUUUGUUAUUUGUGCAUUGCUAAGAAUGUCAGGCCGAUGGUGAAUGUUUGGGAAGAGAUUCCAUUAAAUGCAUUUUAAUUAUACAAGAAUAUAAAUAUUUCCUUGGAGAUGAAGAUUCUGUGCAAUGCAAAUUAUUUGAUGCCUUAUAUUACUUGAACAAUAUGAUGGAAAGCAUAUAGCAAUUUUUUUUUCUCUAAACAAAAUAUAUAUAUACUUCUAUGAAGUGGAAUCUUACUUGGAAAGUGGAUGUUUAACUUUGCAGAUGAUGUAAUCACACCAAUAU